GAUGAAGAACGUAGCGAAAUGCGAUAAGUAAUGUGAAUUGCAGAAUUCAGUGAAUCAUCGAAUCUUUGAACGCACAUUGCGCCCCUUGGUAUUCCGAGGGGCAUGCCUGUUCGAGCGUCAUUACACCACUCAAGCACCGCUUGGUAUUGGGCAUCGUCCGUCGAAAGGCGGGCAUGCCUCGAAGACCUCGGCGGGGUUUCUCCAACUUCGGGCGUAGUAGAGUUAAAUCAAAACGUCUUAUAAGCUUGGUGAGAUCUCAUUGCCGUUAAACCUUUUAUUUUUUCAGGUUGACCUCGGAUCAGGUAGGGAUACCCGCUGAACUUAAGCAUAUCAAUAAGCGGAGGA
rnacentral:misc_RNA from 1 species